rnacentral:misc_RNA from 1 species
GCAAACUUGGUCAUUUAGAGGAAGUAAAAGUCGUAACAAGGUUUCCGUAGGUGAACCUGCGGAAGGAUCAUUGCCGAUCGGACGCCACGCUGAGCUUUCGCGAGCUCUUCGUGGUGUCUUUUUCGACCAACCCAUGUGAACUCGUUUUAUGUGUUUGUUUAACAAAGCCCCUAGGGGCUUUGUCCAAACAUUUUACAAUAAUAAUAACAAACCACAUUAUAUUGAACUCUUGACUGAGACAAUACAGGUCACGCCUAAAAAACGUUGAUCUCAAAAACCUAACCAUUACAACUUUUAACAACGGAUAUCUUGGCUCGCGCAUCGAUGAAGAACGCAGC